GGCCAGAUGGCUUCUUUGGCAUUCUGUCUGUGUACAGCCAGCCCUUGCCAGCCUCUGCUAACUUUUUAACUGUAAGUUCCUUAAUGAAUUAUUUCUCAUGGUCUGUAGGGCAGAGGUGUGAUUGGUGAGGUUGGGUGGGACUGGGAAAUGGCAUUGUAGGGCAGAAUGUUUUGGUUUGUUAGGGAUUUGGAGCAGAAAAAGUAAAAUGCUGCUCAAACGGUAAUAGUUAUGUUUGAUGCUGGCAUUAGAGGUCCAGCAACUCUGUGUUGAGCAGCUCCCAAGUCAGCUGCUGAAUGGUGAGAGGAUUUUUAUCCCACUGAGGGGUGGUACAGCUAGAGGACAGCCCCCCUUGGCUGGAUUAUUUGUCUGGUUCCUUUGUAGACUGUAAUGAAAUAUGAGUAUUGCACAGCUUUAAAGAUUGUCAAGUUUAUCUGUGGAGGACAGAGUAAUGCCCCGUCACAGAAGGGACACUAGGGGGGGACAUAACUAUGGCAUAUAAGUAGCAGAGAGAAAGUUCUCAACACUGAAGUGUUUCUGAUGUGGUGGAGAAAGUACAAAUCAUCUCCAAUAUCUGGCAGAUAAAGCCCAACAUCCUGAAAUUAGGAAGGUGAGUGGAUGGGAGGCAUUAACUUUUAGUGGUGAGGAUGAUUAGUCACAAGCAUAAAACUGGACUGAUACCUUCACAUCAAGACUGACAUUGUGUCUGAUCAAGACACCCAAAGAGGAGUAGUUAGGCUCAAUGGUAGGUUAAAUGGAUGAAAUAUGACAUCUUACAAUGCAUAAGAACAGACUCUGGCUUUCCUGCUAGGUUUAAAAUCUUUUGAAAUCAGGAAGCAGUAAGUAGAAGUUAUGUGGAUCGGCACAGAUGCACAAAACAGGUUGAUAAAAUAAAGCUACAUGUCGAAAGUUUAUUUCUAAGUAAGAAAGUUUGAGAAAUUCACAGUUAAGACCAGCAUCCUUUGGAGCUAGGAUAGCAGGAAGGUCAUGGCUCCUAACAGCUGAUUGGUAUUCACAUGAGGAAGGUGAGUGUUGUAUCAACCAGUGUGUUGUGCAUCAGCCUUUCUGUUCUAAGAUUUGGCUGCCUUCAGAAGUUAGUUAUCUUUCCAGUGGAGGGACAGAGGCAUUGCUGGAUCCGGAUCAGUUGAAUGCAUUGCAGUGAUAGCAAGCUCUUGGUUCCUGGCAUGGAGUUUCUCUCUUCAGCCACACUCCAGUGCUGACCCAGCUGUAUGCUGUUACAAUAUUUUUAUUACAGUCUUUUUAUAUACUGUGGAUAUAUAUUGUGUUUUCUGUUUUGCUCCUUUUUAAAAAACACUUUUGAAGCUGAAUGUACUUAACUGACCACACAAAGAACUGAAACUCUGGAAGGCAGGAAGUGGAGGGAUCUGUGUCAGAGCUAUGUAUUAUUCCUGACUCUGCAGGAUUACAUCAACCCAGUGGUCCUACCUGGGUCACUUUUGUAUAACACUUGUAAGUUAAUGGGGUACCUAGUUCUUCCGCUAAUGCCUCUUCAGCUGUGUUCAUCAUAAUUUCCUCAAUUCAGCCUUUGGGAAGGGAUUGAAGAGGCAAAAAAUAGGUAAUAGAGUAGGGAGCAACAAUGGGAAGAAAAUGAGUCCUGCAGAUGAAGAUGCUUAGAAGAAUUACUGUGUUUUCAAAGUUCAUCCUAACUUAAUCGCAUACCGCAAUCACAGUAGAUAUAGAAAUGUAUGUACAGUCGUACAGAAUGUGUGUGUAUAUAUAUACAUAUGUAAAAGAUAUAAAAAUAUAUACAGCAGUAAACAGAAAGAUGAA
rnacentral:lncRNA from 1 species